GCGGCAAUAGCGCGGUGGUCCCACCUGACCCCAUGCCGAACUCAGAAGUGAAACGCCGUAGCGCCGAUGGUAGUGUGGGGUCUCCCCAUGUGAGAGUAGGGAACUGCCAGAC
rnacentral:rRNA from 1 species